rnacentral:lncRNA from 1 species
CUGUGACAAGUAGGAGCCCCAAGGAGCAGUUGGCAUCGAUGCUGCGCGUUCCAUUUGGGUGCCUUAG